AUUUAACGGCUGGCGGCAGGCCUAACACAUGCAAGUCGAGCGCGAAAGCACUUCGGUGUGAGUAGAGCGGCGGACGGGUGAGUAACGCGUAGGAAUCUACCUAGUAGUGGGGGACAACUCGGGGAAACUCGAGCUAAUACCGCAUAAGCCCUACGGGGGAAAGCGGGGGACCUUCGGGCCUCGUGCUAUUAGAUGAGCCUGCGUUGGAUUAGCUAGUUGGUGGGGUAAAGGCCUACCAAGGCGACGAUCCAUAGCUGGUCUGAGAGGAUGAUCAGCCACACCGGGACUGAGACACGGCCCGGACUCCUACGGGAGGCAGCAGUGGGGAAUAUUGCGCAAUGGGCGAAAGCCUGACGCAGCCAUGCCGCGUGUGUGAAGAAGGCCUUCGGGUUGUAAAGCACUUUCAAUUGGGAGGAAAGGUUCACGGUUAAUAACCGUGAGCUGUGACGUUACCUUUAGAAGAAGCACCGGCUAACUCCGUGCCAGCAGCCGCGGUAAUACGGAGGGUGCGAGCGUUAAUCGGAAUUACUGGGCGUAAAGCGCGCGUAGGUGGUCUGUUAAGUCGGAUGUGAAAGCCCCGGGCUCAACCUGGGAACUGCAUUCGAUACUGGCAGACUAGAGUGCGAGAGAGGGAGGUAGAAUUCCAUGUGUAGCGGUGAAAUGCGUAGAUAUGUGGAGGAAUACCAGUGGCGAAGGCGGCCUCCUGGCUCGACACUGA
rnacentral:rRNA from 1 species